UAUGAUAAAAAUUAGUGGCAGACGGGUGAGUAAUGCAUAGGAAUCUACCUAGUAGUAUGGGAUAGCCACUAGAAAUGGUGGGUAAUACUGUAUAAUCCCUGCGGGGGAAAGAUUUAUCGCUAUUAGAUGAGCCUAUGUUAGAUUAGCUAGUUGGUAGGGUAAAGGCCUACCAAGGCAGUGAUCUAUAGCUGGUCUGAGAGGAUGAUCAGCCACACUGGAACUGAGAUACGGUCCAGACUCCUACGGGAGGCAGCAGUGGGGAAUAUUGGACAAUGGGCGCAAGCCUGAUCCAGCUAUGCCGCGUGAGUGAGGAAGGCCUUAGGGUUGUAAAACUCUUUCAGUGGGGAAGAUAAUGACGGUACCCACAGAAGAAGUCCCGGCAAACUCCGUGCCAGCAGCCGCGGUAAUACGGAGGGGGCAAGCGUUGUUCGGAAUUAUUGGGCGUAAAGGGCAUGUAGGCGGUUCGGUAAGUUAAAGGUGAAAUGCCAGGGCUUAACCCUGGAGCUGCUUUUAAUACUGCC
rnacentral:rRNA from 1 species